rnacentral:rRNA from 1 species
GACACUAGCUUGCUAGUGGUCGACGAGUGGCGGACGGGUGAGUAACGCGUAGGAAUCUACCUAGUAGUGGGGGAUAGCCAAGGGAAACUUUGGGUAAUACCGCAUACGAUCUAAGGAUGAAAGGGGGCCUCUCUUUGAAGCUCUCGCUAUUAGAUGAGCCUGCGUAAGAUUAGCUUGUUGGUGGGGUAAUGGCCCACCAAGGCGACGAUCUUUAGCUGGUCUGAGAGGAUGAUCAGUCACACUGGAACUGAGACACGGUCCAGACUCCUACGGGAGGCAGCAGUCGGGAAUAUUGGACAAUGGGGGAAACCCUGAUCCAGCCAUGCCGCGUGUGUGAAGAAGGCCCUAGGGUUGUAAAGCACUUUUAGUAGUGAGGAAGGCUCAGUAGUUAAUACCUACUGGGAUUGACGUUAGCUACAGAAAAAGCACCGGCUAAUUUCGUGCCAGCAGCCGCGGUAAUACGAAAGGUGCAAGCGUUAAUCGGAAUUACUGGGCGUAAAGCGCGCGUAGGCGGCUUGGUAAGUUGGAUGUGAAAGCCCCGGGCUCAACCUGGGAACUGCAUCCAAAACUGCCUAGCUAGAGUAUGGUAGAGGAUGGCGGAAUUUCCUGUGUAGCGGUGAAAUGCGUAGAUAUAGGAAGGAACAUCAGUGGCGAAGGCGGCCAUCUGGACCAAUACUGACGCUGAGGUGCGAAAGCGUGGGGAGCAAACAGGAUUAGAUACCCUGGUAGUCCACGCCGUAAACGAUGAGAACUAGCCGUUGGACAUCUUGCAUGUUUAGUGGCGCAGCUAACGCGAUAAGUUCUCCGCCUGGGGAGUACGGCCGCAAGGUUAAAACUCAAAUGAAUUGACGGGGGCCCGCACAAGCGGUGGAGCAUGUGGUUUAAUUCGACGCAACGCGAAGAACCUUACCUACACUUGACAUCCUCGGAACUUUCUAGAGAUAGAUUGGUGCCUUCGGGAACCGAGUGACAGGUGCUGCAUGGCUGUCGUCAGCUCGUGUCCUGAGAUGUUGGGUUAAGUCCCGUAACGAGCGCAACCCUUAUCCUUAAUU